CAGCCGCCGCGGUAAUACGUAGGUGGCAAGCGUUGUCCGGAUUUAUUGGGCGUAAAGCGAGCGCAGGCGGUCAAUUAAGUCUGAUGUGAAAGCCCCCGGCUCAACCGGGGAGGGUCAUUGGAAACUGGUUGACUUGAGUGCAGAAGAGGAGAGUGGAAUUCCAUGUGUAGCGGUGAAAUGCGUAGAUAUUGGGAGGAACACCAGUGGCGAAGGCGACUCUCUGGUCUGUAACUGACGCUGAGGAGCGAAAGCGUGGGGAGCGAACAGGAUUAGAGACCCCCGUAGUCCCUGUCUCUUAUAC
rnacentral:rRNA from 1 species